rnacentral:rRNA from 1 species
GGGGUAAAAUUAAUAAAAUAAAAUAAUAAUAAAAAAAUUUUUAAAUAAAAUAUUUUAAUGGGGGUUAAAGUAUAUUAAAAAGAAAUAAUUAUUAAUUUUAUAGUGAAUUAAGUAUUGUGGAAGAAAUUUGAAAUAAUUUAAAAUAAAAAUUAAUUUAAAAGUAGAUUUUAUUUUUCGUAUCUUGGGUAUCAGAGUUUAUUAAUAAAAUUAUUUAAUAAAAUAAUUCUCGAAUUUAAAAGAGAUAAUUAAUUAAAAAAUUUAUUGUAGCAAAAAUAUUUUUAAUAAUUAAUUUGAAAUGAGAUGUUAAUCGUUUUUAAAUAUAUCUAGUUUUUAUAGAAAAAAAUUUAAUUUUAAAUUUAAAGAAUAAUUAAAUUUAUUCAUAAAUUUAAUUAUUCUUUAAAUUUUAUAUAUUAAGGGAUAAGCUUUAAUUUAAAUUUGUAUAAAUUAAAUAUAAUAAUUUAAAAUUUUUAUAAUUUAUAUUGUUAAUAAAAUUUAAUUUAUUAUAAAUAAUUUUAUUUUUAAUAAAAUUUAAUUUAAAUUUACUUUUUUAUAUAAGAAUAAUUUUUAAUAAUUAAAAAUUAAUUAUAAUGAUAAAAUUAGUAUAUAAUAUUAUUUAUUUUAGUAAAUAUAGUGAAUAAGAUUUAUUUAUAUUAAAAAUUAAGUUUAAGGAAUUCGGCAAAAAUUUAUGUUCACUUGUUUAUCAAAAACAUGUCUUUUUGUAAAUAAUUUAAAGUCUAAUCUGCCCACUGAUUUAUUAAAGGGCUGCAGUAUAUUGACUGUACAAAGGUAGCAUAAUCAUUAGUCAUUUAAUUGAUGACUUGUAUGAAGGAUUGGAUGAAAUAUAAACUGUCUUAAAUUUAUAAUUAGAAUUUAAUUUUUUAAUUAAAAAGUUAAAAUAAAUUAAAAAGACGAGAAGACCCUAUAGAGUUUCAUAAUUAUUUUAAUUAAGAUUAUUUAUAAAUUUAAAUUAUUUUAUAUAUUAAAAUUAAUUUAAUUAUUUUAUUGGGGUGAUAAAAAAAUAAAAUAAACUUUUUUUAAAGUUUUACAUAGAUAAGUGAUUAAAUGAUCCAUUAUUAAUGAUUAUAAGAAUAAAUUACCUUAGGGAUAACAGCGUAAUUUUUUUUUUUAGUACAUAUAAAAAAAAGAGUUUGCGACCUCGAUGUUGGAUUAAGAUAAAAUUUAAAUGUAGAAGUUUAAAAUUUUGAUCUGUUCGAUCAUUAAAAUCUUACAUGAUCUGAGUUCAAACCGGUGUGAGCCAGGUUGGUUUCUAUCUUUUUUAAAAUAAAAUAUUUUAGUACGAAAGGAAUAAAUAUUUAAAUUAAAUUUAAAUAUUUUGAAUUUUAAUAAAUUAAAAUAAGAGUAUGAAUUAUUUAAUUUAUAUGGUUGAUUUAAUAAA